GCUGGGCAUGGUGGCUUAUGUCUGUAACCCCAGCUACCCUGGAGGCUGAGGCAGGAGGAUUGCUUGAGUCCAGGAGUUCAAGGCUGCAGUGAGCUACGAUGGUGUCACUGCACUCUGGCCUGGGUGACAGAGUGAGACCCUGUCUCUA
rnacentral:SRP_RNA from 1 species